GGGUUGUGAGGUUAAGCGACUAAGCGUACACGGUGGAUGCCCUGGCAGUCAGAGGCGAUGAAGGACGUGCUAAUCUGCGAUAAGCGUCGGUAAGGUGAUAUGAACCGUUAUAACCGGCGAUUUCCGAAUGGGGAAACCCAGUGUGUUUCGACACACUAUCAUUAACUGAAUCCAUAGGUUAAUGAGGCGAACCGGGGGAACUGAAACAUCUAAGUACCCCGAGGAAAAGAAAUCAACCGAGAUUCCCCCAGUAGCGGCGAGCGAACGGGGAGCAGCCCAGAGCCUGAAUCAGUGUGUGUGUUAGUGGAAGCGUCUGGAAAGGCGCGCGAUACAGGGUGACAGCCCCGUACACAAAAAUGCACAUGCUGUGAGCUCGAUGAGUAGGGCGGGACACGUGGUAUCCUGUCUGAAUAUGGGGGGACCAUCCUCCAAGGCUAAAUACUCCUGACUGACCGAUAGUGAACCAGUACCGUGAGGGAAAGGCGAAAAGAACCCCGGCGAGGGGAGUGAAAAAGAACCUGAAACCGUGUACGUACAAGCAGUGGGAGCACGCUUAGGCGUGUGACUGCGUACCUUUUGUAUAAUGGGUCAGCGACUUAUAUUCUGUAGCAAGGUUAACCGAAUAGGGGAGCCGAAGGGAAACCGAGUCUUAACUGGGCGUUAAGUUGCAGGGUAUAGACCCGAAACCCGGUGAUCUAGCCAUGGGCAGGUUGAAGGUUGGGUAACACUAACUGGAGGACCGAACCGACUAAUGUUGAAAAAUUAGCGGAUGACUUGUGGCUGGGGGUGAAAGGCCAAUCAAACCGGGAGAUAGCUGGUUCUCCCCGAAAGCUAUUUAGGUAGCGCCUCGUGAAUUCAUCUCCGGGGGUAGAGCACUGUUUCGGCAAGGGGGUCAUCCCGACUUACCAACCCGAUGCAAACUGCGAAUACCGGAGAAUGUUAUCACGGGAGACACACGGCGGGUGCUAACGUCCGUCGUGAAGAGGGAAACAACCCAGACCGCCAGCUAAGGUCCCAAAGUCAUGGUUAAGUGGGAAACGAUGUGGGAAGGCCCAGACAGCCAGGAUGUUGGCUUAGAAGCAGCCAUCAUUUAAAGAAAGCGUAAUAGCUCACUGGUCGAGUCGGCCUGCGCGGAAGAUGUAACGGGGCUAAACCAUGCACCGAAGCUGCGGCAGCGACGCUUAUGCGUUGUUGGGUAGGGGAGCGUUCUGUAAGCCUGUGAAGGUGUGCUGUGAGGCAUGCUGGAGGUAUCAGAAGUGCGAAUGCUGACAUAAGUAACGAUAAAGCGGGUGAAAAGCCCGCUCGCCGGAAGACCAAGGGUUCCUGUCCAACGUUAAUCGGGGCAGGGUGAGUCGACCCCUAAGGCGAGGCCGAAAGGCGUAGUCGAUGGGAAACAGGUUAAUAUUCCUGUACUUGGUGUUACUGCGAAGGGGGGACGGAGAAGGCUAUGUUGGCCGGGCGACGGUUGUCCCGGUUUAAGCGUGUAGGCUGGUUUUCCAGGCAAAUCCGGAAAAUCAAGGCUGAGGCGUGAUGACGAGGCACUACGGUGCUGAAGCAACAAAUGCCCUGCUUCCAGGAAAAGCCUCUAAGCAUCAGGUAACAUCAAAUCGUACCCCAAACCGACACAGGUGGUCAGGUAGAGAAUACCAAGGCGCUUGAGAGAACUCGGGUGAAGGAACUAGGCAAAAUGGUGCCGUAACUUCGGGAGAAGGCACGCUGAUAUGUAGGUGAAGCGACUUGCUCGUGGAGCUGAAAUCAGUCGAAGAUACCAGCUGGCUGCAACUGUUUAUUAAAAACACAGCACUGUGCAAACACGAAAGUGGACGUAUACGGUGUGACGCCUGCCCGGUGCCGGAAGGUUAAUUGAUGGGGUCAGCGCAAGCGAAGCUCUUGAUCGAAGCCCCGGUAAACGGCGGCCGUAACUAUAACGGUCCUAAGGUAGCGAAAUUCCUUGUCGGGUAAGUUCCGACCUGCACGAAUGGCGUAAUGAUGGCCAGGCUGUCUCCACCCGAGACUCAGUGAAAUUGAACUCGCUGUGAAGAUGCAGUGUACCCGCGGCAAGACGGAAAGACCCCGUGAACCUUUACUAUAGCUUGACACUGAACAUUGAGCCUUGAUGUGUAGGAUAGGUGGGAGGCUUAGAAGUGUGGACGCCAGUCUGCAUGGAGCCGACCUUGAAAUACCACCCUUUAAUGUUUGAUGUUCUAACGUUGACCCGUAAUCCGGGUUGCGGACAGUGUCUGGUGGGUAGUUUGACUGGGGCGGUCUCCUCCUAAAGAGUAACGGAGGAGCACGAAGGUUGGCUAAUCCUGGUCGGACAUCAGGAGGUUAGUGCAAUGGCAUAAGCCAGCUUGACUGCGAGCGUGACGGCGCGAGCAGGUGCGAAAGCAGGUCAUAGUGAUCCGGUGGUUCUGAAUGGAAGGGCCAUCGCUCAACGGAUAAAAGGUACUCCGGGGAUAACAGGCUGAUACCGCCCAAGAGUUCAUAUCGACGGCGGUGUUUGGCACCUCGAUGUCGGCUCAUCACAUCCUGGGGCUGAAGUAGGUCCCAAGGGUAUGGCUGUUCGCCAUUUAAAGUGGUACGCGAGCUGGGUUUAGAACGUCGUGAGACAGUUCGGUCCCUAUCUGCCGUGGGCGCUGGAGAACUGAGGGGGGCUGCUCCUAGUACGAGAGGACCGGAGUGGACGCAUCACUGGUGUUCGGGUUGUCAUGCCAAUGGCACUGCCCGGUAGCUAAAUGCGGAAGAGAUAAGUGCUGAAAGCAUCUAAGCACGAAACUUGCCCCGAGAUGAGUUCUCCCUGACUCCUUGAGAGUCCUGAAGGAACGUUGAAGACGACGACGUUGAUAGGCCGGGUGUGUAAGCGCAGCGAUGCGUUGAGCUAACCGGUACUAAUGAACCGUGAGGCUUAACCUUACAACGCCGAAGCUGUU
rnacentral:rRNA from 1 species